AUGAACGCUAGCUACAGGCUUAACACAUGCAAGUCGAGGGGUAACAGGAGAGAAGCUUGCUUUCUGCUGACGACCGGCGCACGGGUGAGUAACGCGUAUCCAACCUUCCCUAGUAGCGGAUAGCCCGGCGAAAGUCGGAUUAAUACGCUAUGUUCUUCGUUGAUGGCAUCUGAUGUGAAGCAAAGAUUUAUCGCUAAGGGAUGGGGAUGCGUCUGAUUAGGUAGUCGGCGGGGUAACGGCCCACCGAGCCAUCGAUCAGUAGGGGUUCUGAGAGGAAGGUCCCCCCACACUGGUACUGAGACACGGACCAGACUCCUACGGGAGGCAGCAGUGAGGAAUAUUGGUCAAUGGGCGCGAGCCUGAACCAGCCAAGUAGCGUGCAGGAUGAACCUGCCCUAUGGGUUGUAAACUGCUUUUAUCAGGGAAUAAAGUGAGGCACGUGUGCCUUUUUGUAUGUACCUGAUGAAUAAGGACCGGCUAAUUCCGUGCCAGCAGCUGC
rnacentral:rRNA from 1 species